ACGAUUAAUUGCACAGCCCUAGUUCUUUCUAUAUUUAUAGACCACAUGAAGGAAUGUCAGAACAGCAAGCUGCUCAUCCUGAUGAGAUGACCACUGAUUCCACCCUGCCACUGACCACUGUGCCUGUUUGUUCUGGCCCAGAACCACUGCAAGGAACGUCAGACCAGCCUGCUGCAUCUCAUCCUGAUUGCACCACAGAUUCCACCCAUACACUCUUCUCAGAUGCAGCAAAGACAGACGAUCCACUACCAACCGAUCCUGCUGACUGCCCUUCACAUCUCACAGACACAAUGAGGACAGAGUUUGUUCAGAGAGGACCAUAUCAGAUAACACCUGAUUUCAUUUUCCCAAGGAGAGAUGAUGGGAGAAGUUGCCACCACCAGUACUUCAGCAGGACCUUAGUAAAUGGAGAAAGGAUCAAAAGAAGUUGGGUGACAUAUUCAAAAAAGAAGAACAGUCUUUUUUGUUUUUGUUGUCAACUUUUCUCUCCAAAACAAAUUCAUUUAACAAAUGCAGGACUGUCGGAUUGGAAAAAUGCAAGUGCUGCUUUGACCAGCCAUGAAAAUAGUCCGGAACACCUGAACAAUUUGGCGUCAUGGAAAGAAUUGGCAGUUCGAUUAAAACAAAGUACAACAAUAGACAAACAAGAGCAGGCCCUCCUUGAGGCAGAGAAGAGUCGGUGGAGAGCAGUGUUGACACGACUGGUUGCUAUUGUAGUCUCUGGCAGGGCGAAAUAUGGCAUUGAGAGGAAAGACAGAAAUACUCCACUCUCCUUCAAAUGGAAACUUUUUGAAAGAGGUUGAGCUUUUGGCGCAGUUUGACCCAGUGAUGAAAGACCACACUAACAAGAUUAAAAGUCAA